rnacentral:rRNA from 1 species
CCCUUCGGGGAAGGAUUAGCGGCGAACGGGUGAGGAACACGUGAGGAAUCUGCCUUCAACACUGGGAUAACUCCGGGAAACCGGGGCUAAUACCGGAUACGAGACCUGCAGGCAUCUGCGGGUCUGGAAAGUUUUUCGGUUGAAGAUGACCUCGCGGCCUAUCAGCUUGUUGGUGAGGUAAUGGCUCACCAAGGCGACGACGGGUAGCCGGCCUGAGAGGGCGACCGGCCACACUGGGACUGAGACACGGCCCAGACUCCUACGGGAGGCAGCAGUGGGGAAUAUUGGGCAAUGGAGGGAACUCUGACCCAGCGACGCCGCGUGCGGGAUGAAGGCCUUCGGGUUGUAAACCGCUUUCAGCAAGGAAGAAGCGAAAGUGACGGUACUUGCAGAAGAAGCACCGGCUAACUAUGUGCCAGCAGCCGCGGUAAUACAUAGGGUGCAAGCGUUGUCCGGAAUUAUUGGGCGUAAAGAGCUCGUAGGUGGUUCGUCACGUCGGAUGUGAAAAUCUGGGGCUUAACCCCAGACCUGCAUUCGAUACGGGCGAGCUAGAGUGUGGUAGGGGAGACUGGAAUUCCUGGUGUAGCGGUGGAAUGCGCAGAUAUCAGGAGGAACACCAAUGGCGAAGGCAGGUCUCUGGGCCAUUACUGACACUGAGGAGCGAAAGCGUGGGGAGCGAACAGGAUUAGAUACCCUGGUAGUCCACGCCGUAAACGGUGGGCACUAGUUGUGGGAACCUUCCACGGUUUCUGCGACGCAGCUAACGCAUUAAGUGCCCCGCCUGGGGAGUACGAUCGCAAGAUUAAAACUCAAAGGAAUUGACGGGGCCCCGCACAAGCAGCGGA